rnacentral:rRNA from 1 species
GACAGAGGGUGCAAACGUUGUUCGGAAUUACUGGGCGUAAAGCGCGUGUAGGCGGCAGGGCAAGUCGGAUGUGAAAGCCCACGGCUCAACCGUGGAAGUGCACCCGAAACUGCCUAGCUAGAGUCUCGGAGAGGAAGGUGGAAUGCUUGGUGUAGAGGUGAAAUUCGUAGAUAUCAAGCGGAACACCGGUGGCGAAGGCGGCCUUCUGGACGAUGACUGACGCUGAGACGCGAAAGCGUGGGGAGCAAACAGG